UGUGUGCAAGUACAGCAAUGGGGUUUGGGCGGAAGGUUGGAGAGGGUGGGGUUAGCAGGUGGCUCCUCCUGCUCGCCGGGGUGCUGCUGGCGGUGGCCACGACGGCAACGGCCGCCGAUGCGGUCGAGGAGGGAGAGGGAGCCAUCGCUGGCGAGGACACCUUCCGCGGCAGCCGGCGUAUAUAUGCGAGAUCAAGUGCCAGCACCAUCACAACCCGGUGAACAGGAAGCGGUGGAUCGAUUACUGCAUACGGUACCAGCUGGCGCUGGGCGACGUAUCUUCAAGGAAAUCAGGGGAGGAGGUGAUGCUUUGGAGAAGCGAGAAUCCAAUCAGAACGCACAUGUGUUGGUGAUAAGUGCCUUGUAUAAUUUUGCAUGCUGACAUGUGUGGUUUCUUUAGUGGCGCUACGACUGCGUGCCGUGGUCCGGGACUAGGUGAGCGCAUGCAGCAGGGUGCAUCCCGACCUAUCAACCUGUCAACCUAUGUGAUUUUCCCGUUCUUGGGGAUGGGAUCCUUAGCGCUCUUCCUAGCUUGUAUGAGUUGUUAUCAUGUCCGGUGGAGUGGCGCACCCUGGGCAAGGUUGGACGGCGUGGAGGCGUGGUCGCGUUGAGCAGAGGCACGAAGCCACGAAAUAGAUGGGGGAGAAUGAGAUGGCGGUGGCCAUGGGGAGGAUGACAAGGGGGCGACGGCUGCAGUUCUUGCUAGGGCCAGCUCUACGAUGGUAAGGGCCCUCGAGUGAACCGGACAUCAUGGGCUCUUAAAAUCAUAGAGCUGAUUGUACAAACUUAAAGAGCGGCAAAAUAUAUUUAAUUCUUAAAGAACAAUGUCCAUAGUACAAACUUAAAGAGCUGUAAAAAUAAAACUAGUAUGAUUACCUCAAAUUAAUAAAUAAGCCCCAUAUAUGACUAAUUCAUCAACAAUAAUGCUCCAGUUCUUUACAAAGAAACUCCUUGGGACAUUUCUUGAUGCAAAAUCAUUAAGAACAAUAUCAAGAUCAGUGUUCUCCAGGAUAUCCUUCUCAAUUCUCUGCACUUAGCUAAGCCAUUCUGUCUUUAUUGUGACAUAGUUGACUGCUUGGAGAACAACUUCACGCAGUGAGAGCGCGCAAAACCCUAGGAAAUGAUGGCAUGGCGCUACUGCAAAGGACUAAAGGAGCCAGAGUAGCGAAGUAGAGGAGAGCGGUGAUAGUUGUCGAGCGAUCGAGACGGAGGUGUCUAGACUUUUUAUUGAUGAGACCAUCUGCAAAUGCGUCAGGAUAUCAGGGGACCGGGAGCAGCAGCAGCAGCGCCGCCAGCAGCGGUGUCAGCUCCCCGGCAGCUACCAGUCAUGAAUCUCCGGUCAGAAGGAGGGUAUGCCCAGGACCGCCAGCAUUUGUUGCUGGCAGCCGUGCUUCAUUUCGCCAAGCUCGAUCCAUGCCGCAUUUGUCGAUAGCGACCACCAGCCGCUACACCAGGUUUGGUGCCAUCCUUCUUGCAGAAAAGGGAGGCGAUGAAAUCAUCACCGGUCCGGGGCAUCAUUGGAAUCUUGGCCCACAACUCUAGCAGAGUUCUUCGAGAAGAAUGGAGGGAUCAUUCUAUUUUUGGAGGUGUGGAAGAUCAAAAGAGACUAACAAAACGUCCCAUUCACUUGCUUUAUCUGAAAUGCUUGGAAGAAUCAAGCUGAUAGAGUAGCUACUCCGAUCCUGUUUUCAGCAGCUUGCUUAUAGAUCAUGAUGUACGAUUCCAUGUACUUGUGGCAUUGCAAAAAUGUCAGCUGCACAAACCAUUUAACACCGAGACCGAUGUGUUCCCUACCACGCGGUUCACGAGCGGUGCUGAUUGCUGCUUGGGCUAUGUGAUCAAGUCUCAGACGCACCACCCACAGAUAAGCUGAUAUGCCGUCGGCCCCCCAUGAAUUAUUGAAUCCAACCCCAUGCGUGCCGACCGUGUAUAAAGCACCACACUCCUCCGUCGCAACAUCUCCUCUCCUCAAUGCUCAUCCACCGGUAGAAAACUGAGCAUUAAUCCCGAUUGGGAAGGAUCAUAUCUCUCCAAUACCCAACCCGGAUUAAUUUUUUGAGACAAAAGGGGGUCCUUUAGUCCCGGGUCAUGCCCCCUUUAGCACCAACCGGGACUAAAAAGUUCGAAAAAAUAAAAAAAAAGCCACCGCGCCCGCCCGCCCGCCCGCGCCAGCUCCGCCGCUCCCGUUCAGCCCGCCACCGCCGCUCCUCCGCUCCCGCUCGGCCUGCCUCCGCUCCUCCCUCGCCCGCUGCUGCUCCCGCCCGCUCCGACUGCGCCGCCGGCCGGCCCGCCCGCACGCCGCUCCCCUGUGCACUGCCACCCGCCUUCACCGCGCUGCCGCUCCUCACUGCCAGUGAGGGGCGAGCAGAGGGGGAAGGGGAGGAGAGCAGAGGGGGAGGGGCUGGGAGAGGAAGAGAGGGAGGAGAGGGAGCACCUGUAGAGAGAGGAGGAGAAGGAGGAGAUAGGAGGCGCCGGUGGAAGAUAAGUAAGGAGAGAGAGAGAGAAGAGAAGUUAACAUGGAGAGAGGGGAGGCGCGCGUGGGAGGGCAUUUUAUCCCGGUUGGAUCCACCAACCGGGACUAAAGGUCCCCUUUUGUCCCUGUUGGUAAUUCCAAAUGGGAAUAAAUCUUUUGUCCCGGUUGGAAUUACCAACCGGGACAAAAGGGGGGCAGGGGGGUCUUUUGUUCUGGUUGGAAUUUCCAACCGGGACAAAAGGGGGGCUGCCAGAUUUUUACAAGCGGGACUGAAGCCCCUCCUAUCGAUAUCCUUUUGGUGCCUCAUUUUUGAUCCGGGACUAAAGGCACUUUAGACCUGAGUCCAAAGUCAACCAGGACAAAAAGAGUUGUAUGGAAUGUCAGUUCUUAGUAUCCUCCACUCCACUCUCCUCGGUCAUCGCUAGCACUCCACUCUCCUCAGUCAUCACUAGUAGUAGUGUUCAAUCGUGUGAGUGCAUGUACAACAAUGGGGUUUGGGCGGAAGGUUGGUGGGAGUGGAGUUAAGUGGCUCCUCCUGCUGGCUGGGGUGCUACUGGUGGUGGCCACCAUAGCAACGGCCGCCGGCGCGGCGGAGGAGGGAGCCACUACCAGUGAUGAUAGCAUUAGCGCCAUCCGGCGUAUAUGCGAGCUCAAGUGCAUGAUGAGUGUCACCAUGUAGACCAUUUAUAUAUGUAUGUGAGGAAGUGAUAAAAAAUAUUGGUUGAAGGUGUACUACAAAAUGAAAAAGUGUGAAUGUGGAUGAAGAAGUGUACGGUGGUGGCCACUUGCAAGUGACCUCCUGCUCGCAGGGCUUCUGCUGGAGCGGCCCGAGCCGGGUGUGGUGGGCAUUGGCGUCUGCAUUGAGAAUGCUUUUGAAUUCUAUAAUUGCAAUGGCGAGCCGCGUUGAAGAAAUAGUUCGUAGGGCCAGUUGAAAAUAUAUUUGCAGGGCCAGUUGAAUUCUAUAAUUGUAAUAACUAUUUGUAGGAGGGGGUAACGUAUCCGCAGUCAUUUACAAGGGUGGGCCACGCCAUCACCCACCCCUAGAAACACAUUUUCAUGUGUCGGUGACGCUAUGGCUCGUCCCUGGAAAUGGUUGUUUGGAGGGGCAAGUGACGGCAUGAGCUGCCUCUGCAAAUUGUUUUGUAGGGUCAGGUGACGGCGUGGUCCGUACAUGAAAAUAUUGUUCCUGCUAAAAAAACAAGCAAUUUAUUUUUUGAAUUUGCGAAUACUAUUUGCUGCCAGUUUUUCACCGAUUUUGGUUCCCGCUAAUUUCACCCUAACAAGCUAGUGUGCGACUCAACAAGCUAGUGUCAUAGACAUAGAACAUGUUACAUAAAUAUAAAUUAAGCAUACGAAAUAAUAGAAAAAUAGAAUAUAUACAUCAUUAGAGUGCACAUUGACAACAUGUUUUUCGGCACUCACGAGUCUAGUUAUGGCAGUACUCUUGAUUCUCCCACUCAUGGAAGCUAACGUAUUUAUCUUCCUAUGCUAACAAGUGUUCAGUGAUAAAAGCUGCCCCUCGGGUUGACUACUUCAUGCAAAGUGUUAGAUAGACGCAAAAGCAAUGUACACAUAUACAUCCCUAUGAAAGAGUGGCUCGGGAUCAGUGUUGCCGGGCAGGGUGCGGCGGUGCGGGCGGAUGCCUAAGGUGGGGGUGGCAGCUGGUGCAGGUCACCGGGGCAAGCGCGGUCGUGACGCCAUGGCCAAUGGCCAUGUGGGGGGAGAGAAGAGGUGUGAGAGAGGAAGAAGAGGAGAGGAUGAGGAUGGGAGCAUUGAUUGUGGGCCCUCGUAUGCUAUAGCAAGAUUGUUAAAUAGAUCAGUUGUAUGACUUACUACAUCCUACGUGGUAACACAUUAGGCAUCCUCCCCUGAAAAUGAUAAAAUGGUCAAAAUCAGCCAACCUUCAAUUGUCACUAUCAGCCACGUGGUAACAGUACUUCAAGUUUAUCUUCCAUCAUCUAAAAACCGACGCAGAUUACUAUAUGAGCCAUGUGAUCAUGUGUCAUAUCAGACGCACCAUCCACAGACAUGCUGAUGGUCGUCGGCCCCCAUGAAUUAUUGAAGUCCAUCAUAUCCCCUGCGUGCAGCUCCAAAAAUUGGAGUUAGCUCUAGGAAAACGAAGAAUAAAUUUUAGAAAAAGAAAUUGGAAAAUUCUCAGAAGGGUCUGGACAACGUCUAAUCGUAUUUUUGGAACUUUUGCACUCAUGAAACACCAAGAUGCAUCGGCAUGAAUGCACAGACACGGAACAUCAUUAUUUUAUUUAGAAAAGCAAACAAUUAUUUUCCUAUACUAAAUUUCCUAUAAAGAAAAAUAAAUGUUGAGAAAUUUUUUAAAAUUAUGAGAAAAUCAUUGUUUAAUUAUUCCUUUUAUUCACAUCCUGAAAUUCGAAAAUUUUAGGGUGUGACAUAGUCCGUGUCCACUAGUUGCGGACAGUGCUAUUAACUGCCGCUAUUUUUGACUAGACUUUUCUUAUUCUUCUACCUCCCCUUUUUGAGAUAGGCUAGCGUUUGUUGUUGAAAUAUGAGUGGAGGGAGCUCUCACAUCGCCUAGUGUGUUUGGGUGCUGGACCCUUAAGUGAAGGAUCCGGAGUUUUGUGCCGACUUCCUUGUUUGAGGUGUUGACCUCGACGAUGGUAUUGCUUUGCUGCUUCCUUGAUUGUUGCUGCUGCUGCAUAAACCUCCAUAGCCAUACAUAGAUUUAACUCAUGCAUAUAGUAUAUUUCUCCUGUUUCCUUGACUUGCUGCUUUUGGGAGUUGACAUGGCCUACCCGCUUCUCGGGUAAAUGGUGGUUCUUCAGGGUCGGAGCCUGACUACGACUUCGACAUCGACGGAUGGGAAGAUUACGGAUGGUUCUUCGCUUGAGUCGCCUCUGGAGAUGGAGUUCGCUAUAGCUUAUGUUUCCGUUGCGUAGAUAUUUUACCUUUCUUGAUUCAGUCCUGAUGGACUUGUACCGGCAUGUGCCGAAGAGAUGUACUCGCUACUCAUGUUAUUUAUGAUAUUUGUACUCUGUUGUUGUUCUAUAUUUCUGUGCUGGUAUGAAUUUGUACUAUCUGAGGGUAUGGAUUUGUACUAUCUGAGCUAGGGAUUUGCACGUGAUUACCUUUCUGGCACUAUCACCGAUGUACGUAGGCUUGAAUUCUUAGAAAUGGGAAUUCCGGUCCGUUUCACGCAUGAAAGUAUGCUAUUGCAAGAUUGUUGAACAGAUCAGUUGUAUGACUUACUAUAUCCUACGCGGUAGCACUUUACUAUAAUCAUUGCGGGUGCCCUCAGAUGGAGGCGGGCAUCCUCCCCUGAAAAUAAUAAAAUGGUCAAAAUCAGCCAACCUUCAAUUGUUGUGAUUUCUCCCUGAGGUAGGAGAAUUGGGGACUUGGAGUAGAUCAACACGGGAGGAACCGUUGGAAGGAAGGAAGGAAGGUUCAGUUCGGGAUUCAGAGUUUCAGCACGCUCGCCAUGGCAUCGAUCUGCUUGGAGAACAACAUCACGCAGCGAGGGCGCCCAAAAACCAAGGGAAGGACGGCAUGGCAGUACUGCAAAGGAGGCAGAGCAGCGAAGCAGAGGAGAGCGGUGAGUUGUCGAGCUAGCGAGACCGACGGAGGUGUUUGGACUUUUGUUGAUGAGAGCAUCUGCAAAUCCUUCGAUUAUUGGUGCCAUCCUCUACUGUGUCAUGAGAGUAUUAUCUACUCAUUUAAACACCAAUAUAUAAAAACUUUGGCUUUUAUCGAAAAGAAAAAAAAAGAUUCAGCCCCGAUGUGAUCCCACCAGCCACCACGCGUUUCACGUGGUAACAGUACUUCAAGUUUAUCUUCAAGUUUCAGACGCACCAUCCACAGACAUGCUGAUUGUCGUCGGCCCCAAUGAAUUAUUGAAGUACAUCCCAUGCGUGCAGCGCGUGUAUAAACACCGCCCUCCGGCAGGCUCCUCCAUCACCACAUCCACCACCUCCUCUCCUCAUCCUGCACUCGACUCUCCUCGUCGUAGUAGUGUUCGAUCGUGUGUGUGCAAGUACAGCAAUGGGGUUUGGGCGGAAGGUUGGAGAGGGUGGGGUUAGCAGGUGGCUCCUCCUGCUCGCCGGGGUGCUGCUGGCGGUGGCUGUCACGGUGACGGCCGGUGACGCUGCGGAGGAGGGAGCCACCGCUGGCGACUACAGCCUCCACGGUAGCCAAGCUAUGUGCGAGCUCAAGUGCCAGCAUCAUCAUGAUCCAGUGAACAAGAAGCGGUGCGUCGACUUCUGCAUACGGUGGCAGCUAGCGCUACCGUUUGACGCUGCGGAGGAGGGAGCCACCGCUGGCGACGACAGCCUCCACGGUAGCCGAGCUAUGUGCGAGCUCAAGUGCCAGCAUCAUCAUGAUCCAGUGAACAAGAAGCGGUGCGUUGACUUCUGCAUACGGUGGCAGCUAGCGCUACCAUUUGAUGCUGCGGAGGAGGGAGCCACCGCGGGCGAGGACAGCCUCCACGGUAGCCGAGCUAUGUGCGAGCUCAAGUGCCAGCAUCAUCAUGAUCCAGUGAACAAGAAGCGGUGCGUCGACUUCUGCAUACGGUGGCAGCUAGCGCUACCGUUUGACGCGGUGGAGGAGGGAGCCACCGCGGGCAAAGACAGCCUCCACGGUAGCCGAGCUAUGUGCGAGCUCAAGUGCCAGCAUCAUCAUGAUCCAGUGAACAAGAAGCGGUGCGUCGACUUCUGCAUACGGUGGCAGCUAGCACUACUGUUUGACGUUAAGGAGGAGGAUGGAGCUAGCGCCACCGACACCAUCACCGCUGGUGAGGUCGGCGUCUGCGCCAACCGGCGUAUAUGCAAGAUCAAGUGCCAGCACCAUCACGACCAGGUGAACAGCAACCGGUGCACCGACUUCUGCAUAGGGUACCAAGUGGCACUAGAUGCCAUUAUGGAGAAUGGAG
rnacentral:lncRNA from 1 species